rnacentral:lncRNA from 1 species
UGUGCCAGAUUUAUGGUAGAAAGGCAAGCCAUGACUGAUGCCCAAGAGGUAACCUUUUGCAUGCUGUUCACCUGGGAAGAAGAAACCAAAUUAAUUUGCUCAUGUUACCUCUAUGGCCAGCUGAAAUUGCUCAUGCUCUCGCUGGAGCUGCUCAGCCUCAGAGAGGGAGCUUGCAUUGACGAGGCUUGCAUUCAGCAUUGAUUCACCAUUCCGGAUCCAACCAAGCACCUGCAAAGAAAGGAUGUGCUUAUGGGAAGGCAGGUAUUAUUGUUCCUGUGGGAAAUGCAACAAAGAU